rnacentral:rRNA from 1 species
AAGUCGUAACAAGGUUUCCGUAGGUGAACCUGCGGAAGGAUCAUUAUUGAUUGUAAACUGUUGCCUUCUGUGCUGGCUUCUGCAAGUGCACGUCGGUGACUUUCAUUCCAAUACCCUUGUGAACCUUUGGCCUCUUGCUAGCUUCCGCUGGCAGAGGAUUCUACAUACAACUCGAAUGUAAUGAAACUCCUGUUGUGCACAAGCACUACUAUAUACAACUUUCAACAACGGAUCUCUUGGCUCUCGCAUCGAUGAAGAACGCAGCGAAAUGCGAUAAGUAAUGUGAAUUGCAGAAUUCAGUGAAUCAUCGAAUCUUUGAACGCACCUUGCACCCUUUGGCAUUCUGAAGGGUAUGCUCGUUUGAGUGUCAUUGUACUCUCACGCUUCCGAUCUUGAAUUGGGAGCGGUGGACUUGGGUUUGCUGCUUUACCGUAGCUUACCUCAAAUGUGUUAGUGCAGCUCUUGGUUGGACAUAAUACGGCGUGAUAAGUAUCUUCGCCGGUGCCUCGCAAAGAGGGUGGCCGAUCAGGAUGGUGUGCUCCAAACCGUCUUCGGACAAUCUCUGACAACUUGACCUCAAAUCGAGUAAGACUACCCGCUGAACUUAAGCAUAUCAAUAAGCGGAGGAAAAGAAACUAACAAGGAUUCCCCUAGUAACUGCGAGUGAAGCGGGAAGAGCUCAAAUUUAAAAUCUGGCGUCCUCUGGUCGUCCGAGUUGUAGUCUGGAGAAGUGUUUUCCGUGUUGGACCGUGUGUAAGUCCCUUGGAACAGGGCGUCGUAGAGGGUGAGAAUCCCGUCUUUGACACGGACUACCAAUGCUUUGUGAUGCGCUCUCAAAGAGUCGAGUUGUUUGGGAAUGCAGCUCAAAAUGGGUGGUAAAUUCCAUCUAAAGCUAAAUAUAGGCGAGAGACCGAUAGCGAACAAGUACCGUGAGGGAAAGAUGAAAAGCACUUUGGAAAGAGAGUUAAACAGUACGUGAAAUUGCUGAAAGGGAAACGCUUGAAGUCAGUCACGUCUGCCGGGACUCAGCCUUGCUUCUGCUUGGUGUACUUUCUGGUUUGAUGGGCCGACAUCAAUUUCAACCGUUGGAGAAAGGCUUUGGGAACGUGGCACCUUAGGGUGUGUUAUAGCCCUUUGUUGUAUACGACGGUUGGGAUUGAGGACUGCAGCACGCCUUCACGGCCGGGGUUCGCCCACGUACGUGCUUAGGAUGUUGGCAUAAUGGCUUUAAGCGACC